UCCUUCACUUAGGCUGGCCCCAGAACAGGUGCUGCAUGGCUGUCGUCAGUUCGUGUCGAGAGAUGUUGGGUUAAGUCCCGCAACGAGCGCAACCCUCGCCCUUAGUUGCCAGCAUUUAGUUGGGCACUCUAAGGGGACUGCCGGUGAUAACCCGAGAGGAAGGGGGGGAUGACGUCAAGUCCUCAUGGCCCUUACGGGCUGGGCUACACACGUGCUACAAUGGUGGUGACAGUGGGCAGCGAGACAGCGAUGUCGAGCUAAUCUCCAAAAGCCAUCUCAGUUCAGAUUGCACUCUGCAACUCGAGUGCAUGAAGUUGGAAUCGCUAGUAAUCGCAUAUCAGCAUGCUGCGGUG
rnacentral:rRNA from 1 species